AACCAGUCACAUGUGUACUGUGGCAUAGUCAUUGCAGUCAGGACUCAGCAUGGACAUGAGGACUCCUGCUCAGUUUCUUGGGUUCUUGUUGCUCUGGUUUCCAGGAGCCAGAUGUGACAUCCAGAUGACCCAGUCUCCAUCCAUGUCUGCCUCUCUGGGAGAGAGAGUCAGUAUCACUUGCAAGUCAAGUCAGGAUAUUAGCAUUUAUUUAAACUGGUACCAGCAAAAACCAGGGAAAUCUCCUAAGCUCAUGAUCUAUGAUGCAACCAGCCGGGAAGAUGGGGUCCCAACAAGGUUCAGCGGCAGUGGAUCUGGGUCAGAUUUUUCUCUCACCAUCAGCAAUGUGGAGUCUGAAGAUAUGGGAAUCUAUUACUGUCUACAGUAUGAUGAAUACCCUCCCACAGUGAUACAAGUCAUAACAUAA